GGUGCCUACGGGGCGCAGCAGUGAGGAAUAUUGGUCAAUGGCCGAGAGGCUGAACCAGCCAAGUCGCGUGAGGGAAGACGGCCCUACGGGUUGUAAACCUCUUUUGUCGGGGAGCAAAGCGAACCACGUGUGGUUCAUUGAGAGUACCCGAAGAAAAAGCAUCGGCUAACUCCGUGCCAGCAGCCGCGGUAAUACGGAGGAUGCGAGCGUUAUCCGGAUUUAUUGGGUUUAAAGGGUGCGCAGGCGGAUUUUUAAGUCAGCGGUCAAAUCGUGGGGCUCAACCCCAUCCAGCCGUUGAAACGGGG
rnacentral:rRNA from 1 species